GUGACUUGCUCCUCCUUGCCUUCAUCAUGAUUGUGAGGCUUCUCCAGCAACGUGGAACUGAAGUGACGGCAGCCCUGUGACUGUUAACCCGGAAAACUGCGAGAGGCUUUCCCAUGGAGGGGUCCUCACACCUGGGUUCACCCCUGCCGGAAGACACUGCUGCAUUGUGUGCAGCAGCUGCAAGGCCUGCGUGAUGGAAGGCGAGAGCCCCUGGCCGGCUGCCCUGAUGGAGAGACCAAGGAGCUGAGGCGCUAAGGAGAUGACCUAAGGUUGCAAAGUGAAAAGCAAGGCCAAGGAGGGGCUUCAUUUCAAAUACCAGAUGCGGGGCCGGCCCUCCAUCCACUCCUCGGAACGCGGCACUCCGCGGCCUCCCGGGUAGACGGUCUCCACCACUACUUGCUUCUGUUCAUCUCUGACGGCAGAGUUAAAUAAAAUUAAUACUAUUAUUGAAUGCCAA